rnacentral:rRNA from 1 species
UCUUGGUCNUUUAGAGGAAGUAAAAGUCGUAACAAGGUCUCCGUUGGUGAACCAGCGGAGGGAUCAUUACCGAGUUUACAACUCCCAAACCCCUGUGAACAUACCUAUACGUUGCCUCGGCGGAUCAGCCCGCGCCCCGUAAAAAGGGACGGCCCGCCCGAGGACCCCUAAACUCUGUUUUUAGUGGAACUUCUGAGUAAAACAAACAAAUAAAUCAAAACUUUCAACAACGGAUCUCUUGGUUCUGGCAUCGAUGAAGAACGCAGCAAAAUGCGAUAAGUAAUGUGAAUUGCAGAAUUCAGUGAAUCAUCGAAUCUUUGAACGCACAUUGCGCCCGCCAGUAUUCUGGCGGGCAUGCCUGUUCGAGCGUCAUUUCAACCCUCAAGCUCAGCUUGGUGUUGGGACUCGCGGUAACCCGCGUUCCCCAAAUCGAUUGGCGGUCACGUCGAGCUUCCAUAGCGUAGUAAUCAUACACCUCGUUACUGGUAAUCGUCGCGGCCACGCCGUAAAACCCCAACUUCUGAAUGUUGACCUCGGAUCAGGUAGGAAUACCCGCUGAACUUAAGCAUAUCAAUAAGCGGAGGAAAAGAAACCAACAGGGAUUGCCCUAGUAACGGCGAGUGAAGCGGCAACAGCUCAAAUUUGAAAUCUGGCUCUCGGGCCCGAGUUGUAAUUUGUAGAGGAUGCUUUUGAUGCGGUGCCUUCCGAGUUCCCUGGAACGGGACGCCAUAGAGGGUGAGAGCCCCGUCUGGUUGGAUGCCAAAUCUCUGUAAAGCUCCUUCGACGAGUCGAGUAGUUUGGGAAUGCUGCUCUAAAUGGGAGGUAUAUGUCUUCUAAAGCUAAAUACCGGCCAGAGACCGAUAGCGCACAAGUAGAGUGAUCGAAAGAUGAAAAGCACUUUGAAAAGAGAGUUAAAAAGUACGUGAAAUUGUUGAAAGGGAAGCGUUUAUGACCAGACUUGGGCUUGGUUAAUCAUCUGGGGUUCUCCCCAGUGCACUUUUCCAGUCCAGGCCAGCAUCAGUUUUCGCCGGGGGAUAAAGGCUUCGGGAAUGUGGCUCUCUCCGGGGAGUGUUAUAGCCCGUUGCGUAAUACCCUGGCGGGGACUGAGGUUCGCGCAUCUGCAAGGAUGCUGGCGUAAUGGUCAUCAACGACCCGUCUUGAAACCACGGACC